UACGUAGGGGGCAAGCGUUAUCCGGAAUUACUGGGUGUAAAGGGUGCGUAGGCGGCUAUGCAAGUCAGAUGUGAAAACUCAGGGCUCAACCUUGAGGCUGCAUCUGAAACUGCGUAGCUAGAGUGUGGGAGAGGAAAGUGGAAUUCCGAGUGUAGCGGUGAAAUGCGUAGAGAUUCGGAGGAACACCAGUAGCGAAGGCGGCUUUCUGGACCAUAACUGACGCUGAGGCACGAAAGCGUGGGGAGCAAACAGGAUUAGAUACC
rnacentral:rRNA from 1 species